rnacentral:lncRNA from 1 species
GUAGAAAUGAUAUGGCCGUAUUGCUUAGGGUUUACUCAGAUGACAGAGAACUCAAGAAAAAGGUCUAAACAACAGGAAAAUCAUUUCAAAUGCAUCUAGAAGAGAGGAGGGUGUACCUUUUGAGGGAUCUUAACACAGUCCUCUUAAGAUGGGAAACAGGAAAGGAUGCUGUCAACUACCAAUGAAUGUCCUCUGUGUCCCACUGCAAUGUCAUCUUGAAUGGAUUUGGAAAUGCCUAUGAGUUCAGCAUUACGUUAUACGGUGAUCAGGAGCUACAGGCCUCACAAGGCUUUACUCAGAGGAGCUUUCAGAGUAGGGAGCUCCCACAUCCACUCCCCAGACCCUGCUCUACACCACCGUGGUCUUUGCCACCCCUUCCCGCCACGAACACUGCCCACCGCCCAGGACCUGCACCAAGCAAUGCGGGCCUGGUCGGGCAGACCUCCUGGAUUUUGCCUCGGUGCCUGUGCACCCGCGGCUGGCCUGAGCUCACCUGAGUUGACAGGGGAG